GAAGCCAAAGGACCACAAUCAAAAUCAUCUUCACAAACACAAUCACAACUCGGGUUUUCUAAAUAUUCAAGCAAAUCAAGAUCAUCUAUGCCUGGUUGAUCAUUUUGCUCACCCUCACUAGUUGUUGGCAAUUCACAUACCAAUGUAGACUCACCUUGUUUUUCACAAGGGUCAACUAGUGUGUGAAUACUCUCGUCACUUGGUAAUAAAACCUUAGUCAAGUUGUAAGUGCUAUCACCAGAUGGACACAAAUCAUUCUCAC
rnacentral:lncRNA from 1 species